GACGAACGCUGGCGGCGUGCUUAACACAUGCAAGUCGAACGGAAAGGCCCUGCUUUUGUGGGGUGCUCGAGUGGCGAACGGGUGAGUAACACGUGAGUAACCUGCCCUUGACUUUGGGAUAACUUCAGGAAACUGGGGCUAAUACCGGAUAGGAGCUCCUGCUGCAUGGUGGUGGUUGGAAAGUUUCGGCGGUUGGGGAUGGACUCGCGGCUUAUCAGCUUGUUGGUGGGGUAGUGGCUUACCAAGGCUUUGACGGGUAGCCGGCCUGAGAGGGUGACCGGCCACAUUGGGACUGAGAUACGGCCCAGACUCCUACGGGAGGCAGCAGUGGGGAAUAUUGCACAAUGGGCGGAAGCCUGAUGCAGCAACGCCGCGUGCGGGAUGACGGCCUUCGGGUUGUAAACCGCUUUCGCCUGUGACGAAGCGUGAGUGACGGUAAUGGGUAAAGAAGCACCAGCUAACUACGUG
rnacentral:rRNA from 1 species